UACGUAGGUGGCAAGCGUUGUCCGGAAUUAUUGGGCGUAAAGCGCGCGCAGGCGGCCUUUUAAGUCUGAUGUGAAAGCCCACGGCUCAACCGUGGAAGGUCAUUGGAAACUGAAAGGCUUGAGUACAGAAGAGGAAAGCGGAAUUCCACGUGUAGCGGUGAAAUGCGUAGAUAUCAGGAGGAACACCGGUGGUGUAGACGGCUUUCUGGACCGUAACUGACGCUGAGACACGAAAAGCGUGGGUAGCAAACAGG
rnacentral:rRNA from 1 species